AUAAAGAAUUUUUUGGCUUUUCAUGUGGGUUUGACAAAGGGCUUCUUACAGAGUUUAUUGGCAUUCUGUCCACCUCCCAAUCAAUUGAAAAACCAAAAAAAAAAAAAAAUUCUCUUUUAUAAUCUCUCUAACGAAAGAGGAGGUGGGCACACUGCCAACUGAGCUCUGUUGGCUUCUCUUUGUAAAACCUCUCGUGAUUUUUCGUCACCACCAAUUUGCUGCUACUAGCUAGCUUGUUUCUCUCCUCAUUUUCGAUCUACUACGAAUGAUCCAAGGUAAAAAGAAAAAACACCACCCCAUGAUUAUGUUGUUCUUUAUUUAUCCUUUUUUAGUAUAGUCUUUGUUUAAUUAAGAUCAUGCACUGCCAGUUUCCGUUUUAUAUUCGCUUGAUCAUGAUCAUGAUAAGCAAUAACCAACCCCGCUACAAUUACUUUACUAUAUUGUUUUUCCAUAAAAAGAGCAUGUAAAAAAAUAACUUUUAUCAUAGUACUUUCAUUUCUUCUCAUCUCUUCUUUUGCAGGGUUGUUCUGUGUAGAUGCAUGAUGAUGAUCAACAACAAACAAGAUCCACAACUUUUACUUAUUGGUAACCGCCACUGGAUGUCUAUUAGAUUUCCAAUCACAAACCCUAGUACUUACCUUAUCUAAGUUUCUGAUUCUUCUAUGUUUCCAGCAAAAAUAAAGAAAAGAUAAUCUUACAAAAAAAAAAAAAAAAAAAAAAAA
rnacentral:miRNA from 1 species